rnacentral:rRNA from 1 species
AUUGAACGCUGGCGGCAGGCCUAACACAUGCAAGUCGAACGAGUGGCGGACGGGUGAGUAAUGUAUGGGAAACUGCCCGAUGGAGGGGGAUAACUACUGGAAACGGUAGCUAAUACCGCAUACCAUCGGAUGUUCCCAGAUGGGAUUAGCUAGUAGGUGGUGUAAAGGCUCACCUAGGCGACGAUCCCUAGCUGGUCUGAGAGGUUGACCAGCCACACUGUGACUGAGACACGGUCCAGACGCCUACGGUAGGCAGCAGUGGGGAAUAUUGCACAAUGGGCGCAAGCCUGAUGCAGCCAUGCCGCGUGUAUGAAGAAGGCCUUCGGGUUGUAAAGUACGUUCAGCGGGGAGGCGGUACCCGCAGAAGAAGCACCGGCUAACUCCGUGCCAGCCGCCGCGGUAAUAC